GUAGGUGGCAAGCGUUGUCCGGAAUUAUUGGGCGUAAAGCGCGCGCAGGUGGGUUCCUUAAGUCUGAUGUGAAAGCCCCCGGGCUCAACCGGGGAGGGUCAUUGGAAACUGGGGAACUUGAGUGCAGGAGAGGAAAGUGGAAUUCCACGUGUAGCGGUGAAAUGCGUAGAUAUGUGGAGGAACACCAGUGGCGAAGGCGACUUUCUGGCCUGUAACUGACACUGAGGCGCGAAAGCGUGGGGAGCAAACAGGAUUAGAUACCCUGGUAGUCCACGCCGUAAACGAUGAGUGCUAAGUGUUGGGGGGUUUCCGCCCCUCAGUGCUGCAGCUAACGCAUUAAGCACUCCGCCUGGGGAGUACGGUCGCAAGACUG
rnacentral:rRNA from 1 species